GAGAUUCUAGUAAAAUAAUAUUACAUUGCUUUGUCAGGGCAAAAUUGUAGGUUUAAAUCCCACGAACCUUA
rnacentral:tRNA from 1 species